rnacentral:rRNA from 1 species
AUACGGAGGGUGCAAGCGUUGUUCGGAAUCACUGGGCGUAAAGGGCGCGCAGGCGGUUUGGUAAGUCAGAUGUGAAAGCCCACGGCUCAACCGUGGAAGUGCAUUUGAAACUGCCAGACUUGAGUACCAGAGGGGAAAGUGGAAUUCCCGGUGUAGAGGUGAAAUUCGUAGAUAUCGGGAGGAAUACCGGUGGCGAAGGCGACUUUCUGGCUGGAUACUGACGCUGAGGUGCGAAAGCGUGGGUAGCAAACAGGAUUAGAAACCCCUGUAGUCC